UUUACAACGGAGAGUUUGAUCCUGGCUCAGGAUGAACGCUAGCGGCAGGCCUAAUACAUGCAAGUCGUACGGUAUCUUGAAGCUUGCUUUGAGAGAGAGUGGCGCACGGGUGCGUAACGCGUAUGCAACCUGCCUGUUACAGGGGGAUAGCCCGGGGAAACCCGGAUUAAUACCCCAUGGUAUUGGACGAUGGCAUCGUUGUCCAAUUAAAGAUUUAUCGGUAACAGAUGGGCAUGCGUAGGAUUAGCUGGUUGGUAGGGUAACGGCCUACCAAGGCUGUGAUCCUUAGGGGUUCUGAGAGGAAGGUCCCCCACACUGGCACUGAGAUACGGGCCAGACUCCUACGGGAGGCAGCAGUAGGGAAUAUUGGGCAAUGGGCGGAAGCCUGACCCAGCCAUGCCGCGUGCAGGAAGACGGCCUUACGGGUUGUAAACUGCUUUUAUCAGGGAAGAAAAAGGCCAUGCGUGGCAGAUUGCCGGUACCUGAUGAAUAAGCACCGGCUAACUCCGUGCCAGCAGCCGCGGUAAUACGGAGGGUGCGAGCGUUGUCCGGAUUUAUUGGGUUUAAAGGGUGCGUAGGCGGCCAUAUAAGUCAGCGGUGAAAGUUUGGGGCUCAACCCUAAAAUUGCCGUUGAUACUGUUUGGCUUGAGUGCGUUCUGGGUACAUGGAAUUUAUGGUGUAGCGGUGAAAUGCAUAGAUACCAUAAGGAACACCGAUAGCGUAGGCAUUGUACUGGGACGUAACUGACGCUGAUGCACGAAAGCGUGGGUAGCG
rnacentral:rRNA from 1 species